AGUUUGACAAUGAAAAAGACAAGUAAGGCGCAAGUUUUACGAGCAAAAGAGACAAGGUGGAUGGUGCAAACCUUGCGUAAACGCGUUCUGAAGCUGCUUUGGAGUUGGACCGCGUCCCGCGUUAUCGGAAUAUGAGUGCAUUUUUCAAAAAUGAAAAAUGAAGCAGGAUGGUACCGCGUAUUCAUUACGUUCCUAGC
rnacentral:ncRNA from 1 species